GAUUGAACGCUGGCGGCAGGCCUAACACAUGCAAGUCGAGCGGAUGAAGGGAGCUUGCUCCUGGAUUCAGCGGCGGACGGGUGAGUAAUGCCUAGGAAUCUGCCUGGUAGUGGGGGAUAACGUCCGGAAACGGGCGCUAAUACCGCAUACGUCCUGAGGGAGAAAGUGGGGGAUCUUCGGACCUCACGCUAUCAGAUGAGCCUAGGUCGGAUUAGCUAGUUGGUGGGGUAAAGGCCUACCAAGGCGACGAUCCGUAACUGGUCUGAGAGGAUGAUCAGUCACACCGGAACUGAGACACGGUCCAGACUCCUACGGGAGGCAGCAGUGGGGAAUAUUGGACAAUGGGCGAAAGCCUGAUCCAGCCGUGCCGCGUGUGUGAAGAAGGUCUUCGGAUUGUAAAGCACUUUAAGUUGGGAGGAAGGGCAGUAAGUUAAUACCUUGCUGUUUUGACGUUACCAACAGAAUAAGCACCGGCUAACUUCGUG
rnacentral:rRNA from 1 species